rnacentral:rRNA from 1 species
AAACUUUCAACAACGGAUCUCUUGGCUCUGGCAUCGAUGAAGAACGCAGCGAAAUGCGAUAAGUAAUGUGAAUUGCAGAAUUCAGUGAAUCAUCGAAUCUUUGAACGCACAUUGCGCCCGCCAGCACUCUGGCGGGCAUGCCUGUUCGAGCGUCGUUUCAACCCUCA